rnacentral:rRNA from 1 species
CCUUUCCUACGGGUGGCAGCAGUGAGGAAUAUUGGUCAAUGGACGCAAGUCUGAACCAGCCAUGCCGCGUGGAGGAUGACAGCCUUCUGGGUUGUAAACUUCUUUUAUAUGGGAAGAAAAGUACGGUUUCUACUGUAUCCGACGGUACCAUAUGAAUAAGCACCGGCUAACUCCGUGCCAGCAGCCGCGGUAAUACGGAGGGUGCAAGCGUUAUCCGGAUUUACUGGGUUUAAAGGGUGUGUAGGCGGAUAUUUAAGUCAGAGGUGAAAUCUCCGGGCUCAACCCGGAAACUGCCUUUGAUACUAUUUAUCUUGAAUUUCGUUGAGGUUGGCGGAAUAUAUCAUGUAGCGGUGAAAUGCAUAGAUAUGAUAUAGAACACCGAUUGCGUAGGCAGCUGGCUGAACGAACAUUGACGCUGAGCACGAA